AGCAACAGUAAGGAAUUAAAUAUUUCCUCAGUAAAUGAACUAAGAAGAACCAUGGUAGGGGAUACAGAAAAUUUAAAAGUAUGACAAAAUUACUUUAGUUUAUAUGUUUAUUUAAGCAGUUGAUGUAAAUCUUCUCUUUUUGCCAUAAAUGUUCUUUGCAGACUCCUACUGAAUAUUAUCCCACAUUGCACAGUCUCACUGUGUUUACAUGUCUGUUUCUUCCAGAUCUUGCUCAAGCAUCUGAAGAAAGAGUGCUUUGGAGAAGUGCAGCAUUUAGAAGGGCAUUUUCAGGGCUGGGAUCUGGUAAAUAGAUUUGUGUUUGAAUUUCUAGCACUUUGCACAAUCAUUGAAUAUGUAGUAAAUACCAGUAAAGGAAAAUCAGAUUAGCAGUACUCUUAUGCAUACUCAUAAUUUUUCUAUUAAAGUUUACCUUAUCAUUUAAAGAUAGCCAGGACCUAGGGAGACAUACUCAUGCUACAAUACAGAGUACACAGAGAAUAUGAGGAAGGGAU
rnacentral:lncRNA from 1 species